UAGUAUGCCAACAAAUAAACUUUAGAGGUUUAAAGUAUAUUAAUUAAUUAAUAUAGGAAGGAAGGUUCUAUUGUGCAAAUUUUAUUGAACUUGCAAGUGCACGAAUCUAUUGUAGAAUAGACUAAUGGUGACGAGUGUCGAUCCCACAAGGAGGUGGGUUUUAAUUGUGUGUAGAAUUAAUUUUGUAAAUGGGUGGUUGGAUUUCUGGUGAAAUUGAUUUGGAAUAUUCUAAAACUUAAAUUAAAAUGGCGAGAAUAAAUUAAACAUAGAUCUAUUGAAAUGAAGCACUUGGGUAUCCGGAUCCGUAUCAACAUGCACCAUGGGCUAAAUAUUCCUUAUUAAUGUCAAUUAAAUCAUGAGGGGGGAAUCCACACCUCAUGAUCCACAUUCUAAUCAAUAUGGUGCUAAGGGCUUAUCGUGCCAAAUAAUAAUAACCUUGUACUAGGGGGCCGGUGAAACCAAGGCGGUACUAGACAAGAUUAGUAUUAUUUGUCAACGAGAAGUCAAAACAUCCACAAAAAUUAGAAGGGAAGAGAAAGUAAAUUUACCAAAUAAAGCCCAUGACACAUCUUGAGACUUCACCUUCAACCCAAGCUUGAAAGAAAAUUAGCUACUCAUAAUUGAACUAGGGGCAAAAUGAGAAUUUAUUAAAAUACGUAGAAAAUACAAAAUGGAGAAGAAAUUACAGAAAAUGGAUCCCAAAAAUGGAUUCAGAGCUAUCAAAUUAGGGGGGGAGAGGCCCCUUUUUAUAGAUACAUUCAGUAAAUCAUGGCCAUCAGAUUAAAAAUAGUUUGGACGCUCCUUGCACAUAUCUACUGGGAUGCGUUUCAAGAGACAAAAGGAUAUCAUCCAAUGACUCCUUAUUCAAGCCAUCCCUAAUGAAUUGAAUCUUAUUUUCCCUGUUAUCAGACACCAUUCCAAAAGAACAUGGGUUUUUAUUGCAACUCAUUCUGCCACACUUAUGACAAGCAACAGAAAUUCUUCGAGCUCGUCGUUUUCUUGCAUAAUUUCCUUUACCACAACCAGGCAUGUAUGCAAUAAAUUUUGGAGGUAACUCACCUACCGAUCGUACUUUAGCCUCGAUUAACCAACGGAUGUCAGCAGGUAUGUUAUUCCUCAUGAGUAAUCGCAUGCGUUCGGACUGAGCUUUAUAGAUUGUAAAGAGGGCAUUCUGAGGAAGUGAUGGGAAUUGCUUGUGAAGCUUCACUAGAGUCUCGUUUAUGUCCAUACCUUCGCUUCAGAAUAUCAGUUAUUAUAGGAAACUGAAGCAACCGACUUGAUUGUCACGGAGUACCGUUAUCUGCCACUUCAUCGGGGUAACAAACUAAAGCACACAAACAGAAAAACAAAUUGAAACACACAAAGAAAAUUAAAAUCAUCCUCUUAUUGAAUUUACCUCAAGCUCCAAUUGGAUGUCAUAACACUUCUCUGAAUGUCUCUGAGUUGGUUUUCUAAACCCUCAACAUAGGCUACUAAUCUGGUGGUUGUAGAGCCCAAAUACGAUAUGUUUUACAAAUGAUCUGCUAUGAGAUGAGUUUUGANNNNNNNNNNNNNNNNNNNNNNNNNNNNNNNNNNNNNNNNNNNNNNNNNNNNNNNNNNNNNNNNNNNNNNNNNNNNNNNNNNNNNNNNNNNNNNNNNNNNNNNNNNNNNNNNNNNNNNNNNNNNNNNNNNNUAAUAUAAAGAAAGAAAAAAAAAUCAAAUCACCAAAAAGAAAAGAAAAAAAAAUCAAUUCAAAUCUGGUGGGUCACUCAAAUUUAUUUCGGUGUCUUCUCCAUGUGAUUGGUACUCUAGAUAUGGCUUUAAUCUUUGACCAUUAACUUUAAACGUGACACCAUUCAUUGGGUCCUUAAUUUCAAUUGCCCCAUGUGAAAAAAUAGUAUGUACAAUAAAUGGGCCAGACCAACGAGAGCGUAACUUACCUAGGAAUAGGUGCAAGCGAGAAUUGAAUAAAAGCACUUUCUGACCUGGAGUGAAAGAUUUUCUCAUAAUUUGCUUGUCGUUGAAGACUUUCAUUCGUUGCUUGUAAAUCUUGGCAUUUUCGUAUGCAUCAUUGCGAAUUUCUUCAAGUUCUGCCAGUUGUAAUCUUCUUUCUGAGCUGGCUUGCUGCAUGUCAAAGUUGAAUUUCUUGAUGGCCCAAUACGCAUGAUGCUCGAGUUCCACAAGUAGGUGGCAAGCUUUUCCAUACACUAGCCUGUAGGGUGACAUCCCAAUCGGGGUCUUGAAAGCCGUUCUAUAUGCCCAUAAUGCAUCAUCAAGUCUUAAUGACAAAUCUUUUCUGUCUGGCCUCACCCUCUUUUCUAAUAAGUGCUUUAUUUCUCGAUUGGAGAUCUCAACUUGGCCACUGGUUUGCGGAUGAUAUGGGGUCGCCACUUUGUGUGUGAUUGAAUACUUUGUCAAAAGAGCUUUGAAUGCUUUGUUAUAAAAGUGGGCACCACUAUCACUGAUUAUUGCUCGAGGGAAUCCAAAGCGCGAAACAAUGUUGCUCUUAAAAAAUCCUAUCACCACCUUGUGAUCAUUGGUUCUGCAUGGAAUUGCUUCUACCCAUUUCGAUACGUAGUCAACAGCAACCAAUAUGUAUUGAUAGCCAAAAGAAUGGGGAAAGGGACCCAUGACAUCGAUACCCUAAACAUCACAAAUCUCAACCACUAAAAUUGGACUUAGUGGCAUCAUGUUCCUUCGUGUAAUGCUCCCCAUCCGUUGACACCUAUCGCAUGAAGAACAGAAAGUGUAAGCGUCUCGAAAUAUAGUUGGCCAAUAGAAACCACAUUGUAAAAUUUUAGUGGCUGUUUUCUUAGCACUGAAAUGACCUCCACAAGCUUGUUCAUGGCAGAAUGAAAAGAUAUUUUGAAUUUCACGUUCUGGGACACAUCGCCUAACAAUUUGAUCUGCACAAUACUUGCACAAAUACAGGUCAUCCCAAAAGAAAUUCUUUAUUUCCGCAAAUAAUUCAGCCUUGUCUUGCUUGGCCCAAUGCUCUGGAAGUUGACCUGUAACAAGAUAAUUAACGAUAUCAGCAUAGCAUGGUAAUACUUCCACACUCAUCAUUGUUUAUCUGGGAAUGACUCAUUCAAUGGUAAUGUUUCCAUAAUUGUGUCAAAAUGGAGACGAGAGAGAUGGUCCGCCACAACAUUUUCUGUCCCUUUCUUAUCUUUGAAUUCCAAGUCAAAUUCCUGCAAAAGUAACACCCAACGAAUUAGUCUAGCUUUUACAUCUUUCUUUGUGAGAAGAUAUUUAAGAGCAGAAUGAUCUGUGAAUAUAAUUAUUUUACAACCAAUGAGAUAAGAUCGAAAUUUCUCUAAUGCAAACACUACUGCUAGCAUUUCUUUUUCAGUAGUUGAAUAGUUCAACUGUGUAUCAUUCAAUGUCAUACUAGCAUAGUAAAUAACGUGGGGAAUUUGAUCAACUCUUUGUCCUAAUACUGCUCUUACUGCAUAAUCAGAUGCAUCACACAUGAGCUCAAAUGGUAAGCUCCAAUUUGGGGGCUGAAUGAUGGGUGAUGAUGUCAACAACUGCUUUAGUUUUUCAAAUGCCACAAGACAUGAAUCAUCAAAGAUAAAAGGUACAUCCUUAGCAAGUAAAUUGUAUAAUGGUCUAGAAACUUUGCUAAAAUCUUUAAUGAAACGUCUAUAGAAACCAGCAUGCCCAAGGAAAAAUCUUACUUCUCUGACUGUUUUGGGUGGAGGAAGAUUAGAAAUGAGAUCCACUUUGGCUUUGUCAACCUCAAUACCUUUGCUCGAAAUGAUAUGACCGAGAACAAUACCUUGUUUUACCAUAAAAUGACAUUUCUCCCAAUUUAAGACCAAGUUCUUCUCGAUACAUCUUUGCAGAACUAGUGUUAGAUGAUGUAAACAUUGAUCAAACGAAUCACCAAAGAUAGAAAAGUCAUCCAUAAAGACUUCAAGGAAUCGUUCAACCAUAUCAGAAAAAAUGCUUAACAUACAUCGUUGAAAUGUAGCAGGUGCAUUGCAUAAUCCAAAUGGCAUCCUCUUAUAUGCAAAAGUGCCAAAAGGGCAAGUGAAAGUGGUUUUCUCUUGAUCUUUUGGUGCUAUGGGAAUCUGAUUAUAUCCUGAGUAGCCAUCUAAAAAGCAAUAAAAUUCAUGGCCUGCUAAUCUAUCAAGCAUUUGAUCAAUAAAUGGUAAAGGAAAAUGGUCUUUAUGUGUGACAAAAUUUAAUUUUCUAUAAUCAAUGCAUACACGCCAUCCUGUAGUUACUCUAGUUGGUAUCAAUUCAUUAUCAGCAUUGGUAACUACUGUGACUCCUGACUUUUUAGGGACAACUUGUACAGGACUGACCCAUGGACUAUCAGAAAUUGGGUAAAUGAUACCUGCGUCUAAUAGCUUAAGGACUUCAGUUCUAACAACUUCUUUCAUAUUAAGAUUUAACCGACGUUGCAUUUCCCUAGUAGAUUUAGCAUUUUCAUUGAGGUAAAUAUAAUGCAUGCAGUCUACUGGGUUUAUACCUUUGAUGUCUGCUAUAGUCCAUCCUAAUGCUCCUUUGUGCUCUUUUAAAACAUCCAACAACUUACCUUUUUGUUCGUCAUUCAGGGAUGAUGAGAUGAUUAUCGGUAGAGUACUUUCUUCUCCCAAAAAUGCAUAUUCCAAUGUGUUAGGCAAUGGUUUGAGCUCGAGUUUUGGUGGUGAUUCUGAUGAUGGGAUGAGUUUCUUUUCUGAUGGUGGUACUUGUUCAACUCUUGACUUCCAUUUAUUAGUGUCCAUGGAUGGUGCUGAGUCAAGUAGGGCGUUGACCUCAUCGACCGAUCUGUCAAUAUCAAAAUCCAAACUAAAGUGAGUUAAACAUGUUUGUAAAGGAUCAUCACUAAGGUUUGAAAGAAAAGUAUUAUCAACUAUUGUUUCUAUUAAAUCCACAUCAACAAUUCCAUCAUCUGCACUGUGAGGUUGUUUGGCAAUGUUGAAAAUGUUUAGCUCCAUAGUCAUGUUGCUGAAGGACAACUGCAUAUUUUCAGUCCUGCAUUGAAUGUGAGCAUUCGCAGUUGCCAAGAAAGGUCGGCCUGGAAUAAUGGGGAUGUGCUUCUUUGAAUCUUGUAUUGGUUGAGUGUUAAUUACAAUGAAAUCAACAGGAAAAUAAAACUUGUCUACCUGGAUAAGCACGUCCUCCACAAUACCACGAGGUAUUUUCGUGGACCGAUCUGCAAGCUGUAACACCACUGAAAUUGGGUGUAAUUCUCCAAGUCCAAGUUUCAAAAAUACUGAGUAAGGCAACAAAUUUUUACUAGCUCCUAAAUCCAACAAAGCAUUCUCAAUUGUGUGGUUCCCUAUGCUACAUGAAAUAGUGGGGGAGCCUAGGUCUUUGCAUUUUAGAGGAAUUUUGUGUUGGAGUAUAGAACUAACGUUUUCUGUUAAAAAUGCCUUCUUUUGAAUAUGAAUAUUUCUCUUUUUAGUACAAAGGUCUUUAAGAAACUUGGCAUAAGAUGGAACUUGCUUUAUAGCAUCAAGUAAAGGGAUGUUAACACUUACCUGUUUGAAGAUUUUGAGAAUCUCACCUGUGGAUUUUCCCUUCUUUCCUUUCGCUAACCUCUGAGGAAAUGGAGCUUUAGGAACAUAUUCUCGUGGGUUGGUUUCUUCUUUUUCCUCCGGUGGUGAGUCAUCAACAUUCACAGGUACAAUUUGAUUUUCUUUUAUCACCAGCAUUUCCACUUUGUUGUCGACUUCUUUUCCUUUCCGCAAGGUCAUGACUGUUUUGACCUCUCCAAGCUGUUGUGGUGAACUGGUACUUGCUUCAUGCACUCCUUUAGGAUUAGGCACUGGUUGACUUGGAAACUUGCCUUUCUCAACAGUCAUUGCCAAGGUCUGAACUGAAGAAGCAAGUUGUCCCACCAUCCUCUCGAGGCUUGAAACUGAUUGAGCUUGUGAGUUGAAGCCUGCUCUCAACUUAUUUCAUAGUCCAUCAAUAGUGCGGUUCUGUAGCUCAAUCGUGGAGUGAGUAACAUUCUUGAAAUUAUGGAAUGCAUUCUCCCAUGGUUUGGGUUGUGAGUAGUUCUAGUUUUGAUUGUAUGGUCUAAAUGGGGGCUGAGAGGCUUGAGGAUUUUGUGGAAUUAGUGGAACUGGAGCUGCUGGUCCAUUCUGUUGGAAUCCUUGAGACCAUGAAAAAUUGGGGUGGUCUCUCCAUCCAGGGUUAUAUGUGUUGAAGUAUGGGUUGUAAUUCGAUGGUUUUCUCAUUACACCUAUGGCAUUGGCUUGAUCGGAGUAUGAGUCAUGGUCAUGUGGCUCUGUUGAUUUAGCAGUCGAUAACGAUGUUAUUUGUCGAGCGAGACCUUCAACCAUCUCCUUGACUUCUUUGAUUCCCGAACUUGACUCGCCAAUGUGAACCUCAUUCACUCUUUUAAUUCUUUUAGUAUUUCUGAGUGAUCGACUCUGUUGUUAGGAAUUAUCCGCUUGUCGCUAGAAGAAUUCCCAAAUCUCUGAUGCACUUUUUGACAUUAGCUCUCCUCCACUUGUUGCCAUUACCCAUUCUUGCACAUUCGGCAAUAAUCCCUCCAAAAUGUAUUGGCACCGGUGCCAUUUCUCGUACCCAUGAUGUGGACACUUCAAGAGUAGCCCAUUGAAUCGCUCCCAUGUUUCGAAAAACUGCUCGUCUUCUCUCUGUGUAAACUCUGAAAUUUCCCUACGAAUAGCAUUGGUUUUAUGCACUGGGAAAUAUUUAUUCAAAAAUUUUGUUACUAUUUGUUCCCAUGAUGAAAUGCUAUCAGUACGUAAUGUAUUAAGCCAUGAACGAGCUCUAUCCUUUAAAGAAAAUGGGAAUAGUCUAAGUUUUACAUCAUCAUCUGAAAAAAUUCUCAUAUUUAAACGUUUGACAAAUAGCAUGAAAAUCAUUCAGAUGAUUAUAUGGGUCCUCAUUUUCUAGGCCAUAGAAUGUUGGGAGACAAUUUAGCACACUAGGUUUUAGUUCAAAACUCCUAGCAGCUACAUUUGGGUAUCUUAUGCAUGAUAUGCUCAAAUUAGCUAAAGGACUGAAGUAGUCCUUAAAUGGCCUCUCCUGUGGUUGCAAAUCCAUUUUAUUUUUAACUUGUUUGUGUGUGCGAAGUGUUUUCUCAAGUUCAAGGUCUAUAGGUUCAAGAUUAGGUAAUAAUGACCUUCGACCAUGCUUGCAAAACAAAUAAAAUAAAAAAUAAAGAUGGGAACAAAACAAAUACAAAUAAAGAAGAGGGAGAAAUUACGAUACUGACCUUAUUGCGCUGUUACAAUAAAUUAACUAAAAAUAAAUUAAUAAGAUAAACACAAAAAAAAUUUACAAAAAAAAAUAAAUUGAAAAUUAAAUUACAGAAUUUUAAAGAAGAGAAAAAGAAAAGAAAUAUUAACCAUUAAAUGUAGAUUCACUUUUUUUUUCUUCUUUUUUGAAAAAAAAAAUACAAGAAAACAAUUAAAUGGAAUUAUUCACAAAAAUUAAUUCUAUGAAUUAAAAUUACUUACCUCCCUGGCAACGGCGCCAAAAACUUGUUGUGCAAAUUUUAUUGAACUCGCAAGUGCACGAAUCUAUUGUAGAAUAGACUAAUGGUGACGAGUGUCGAUCCCACGAGGAGGUGGAUUUUAAUUGUGUGUAGAAUUAAUUUUGUAAAUGGGUGGUUGGAUUUCUGGUGAAAUUGAUUUGGAAUAUUCUAAAACUUAAAUUAAAAUGACGAGAAUAAAUUAAACAUAGAUCUAUUGAAAUGAAGCACUUGGGUAUCCAGAUCCGUAUCAACGUGCACCAUGGGCUAAAUAUUCCUUAUUAAUGUCAAUUAAAUCAUGAGGGGGGAAUCCACACCUCAUGAACCACACUCUAAUCAAUAUGGUGCUAAGGGCUUAUUGUGCCAAAUAAUAAUAACCUUGUACUAGGGGACCGGUGAAACCAAGGCGGUACUAGACAAGAUUAGUAUUAUUUGUCGACGAGAAGUCAAAACAUCCACAAAAAUUAGAGGGAAAGAGAAAGUAAAUUUACCAAAUAAAGCCCAUGACACAUGUUGAGACUUUACCUUCAACCCAAGCUUGAAAGAAAAUUAGCUACUCAUAAUUGAACUAGGGGCAAAAUCGGAAUUUAUUCAAAUAUGUAGAAAAUACAAGAUGGAGAAGAAAUUACAGAAAAUGGAUCCUAAAAAUGGAUUCAGAGCUAUCAAAUUAGGGGGGGGAGGCCUCCUUUUUAUAGAUACAUUGAGUAAAUCAUGGCCAUCGGAUUAAAAAUAGUUUGGACGCUUAGGAUUGUGCCACGUCAUCAAUCAACAGUACGCAGUUUGACCACGUGGAUGAACAGUAACACAGUUUGACCAGGCUUUGAACAGUAACGCGGUUUGGUUGAAAAUAAUCCUGUGUAAUGCAUGUACCGUACGUGCAAGUUUUGGUCCACUAAUAUGUUGCCACGUCACCAUCAACAGUUCAUAAGAAUUUUAGACCAACAGGAUCAUGACACCUCAUCAGUCAAUGCCACAUCAUCGAUCCGUCUAUGUGAACAGUGUCGUGAACAGUAACAUAGACAAUACCGUACAUGUGAAUAGUACCGUACAUGUGAACAGUGCCAUUUUUCCUUUUAUGCUCCUCCUAAGGUUUUCGACCGUCCUGAGUUCAAAAGUGAUGUCCGUUUUGCCGUUUGAUCUCUCGUUUAUUAUGAAAUGACUAUGAUGCCCCUAAAAUACACAAAAUACUUAAUUAAAAUAAAAUACACAUAAUUAAAUUACAAGAACCUUAAAUACAUAAAAGUAAGGGUUAUUAGUAAGACUUGACAUGUAAAAUUAUGAUUUUCUCCUUUAUAAAUAUACAUUUUCUAACACUCAACAGGUUCCUUCAUUUUCCCUCAAUAAUGCCAUUAGGGCCUAAUUUUAAUACCAUAAUCCCAUAUUUAAUUUUGCAACCUUUUGUUUAGUGUCUUUUGACUUCUUCAAACUUUAUAAACAUUAAGUAUUAAAUUUUGUGGCAUCAUUAUUUCUCACCUUUUUAUAUUCUCUAUUAUCUAAUAUAUU
rnacentral:lncRNA from 1 species